UGACUNGAGUGCAGAAGGGGAGAGUGGAAUUCCAUGUGUAGCGGUGAAAUGCGUAGAUAUAUGGAGGAACACCAGUGGCGAAAGCGGCUCUCUGGUCUGUCACUGACGCUGAGGCUCGAAAGCGUGGGUAGCGAACAGGAUUAGAUACCCUGGUAGUCCACGCCGUAAACGAUGAGUGCUAGGUGUUAGGCCCUUUCCGGGGCUUAGUGCCGGAGCUAACACAAUAAGCACUCCGCCUGGGGAGUACGACCGCAAGGUUGAAACUCAAAGGAAUUGACGGGGGCCCGCACAAGCGGUGGAGCAUGUGGUUUAAUUCGAAGCAACGCGAAGAACCUUACCAGGUCUUGACAUCCCGAUGCUAUUCUUAGAGAUAGGAAGUUACUUCGGUACAUCGGAGACAGGUGGUGCAUGGUUGUCGUCAGCUCGUGUCGUGAGAUGUUGGGUUAAGUCCCGCAACGAGCGCAACCCUUAUUGUUAGUUGCCAUCAUUAAGUUGGGCACUCUAGCGAGACUGCCGGUAAUAAACCGGAGGAAGGUGGGGAUGACGUCAAAUCAUCAUGCCCCUUAUGACCUGGGCUACACACGUGCUACAAUGGUCGGUACAACGAGUUGCGAGCCGGUGACGGCAAGCUAAUCUCUGAAAGCCGAUCUCAGUUCGGAUUGGAGGCUGCAACUCGCCUCCAUGAAGUCGGAAUCGCUAGUAAUCGCGGAUCAGCACGCCGCGGUGAAUACGUUCCCGGGCCUUGUACACACCGCCCGUCACACCACGAGAGUUUGUAACACCCGAAGUCGGUGAGGUAACCUUUUAGGGGCCA
rnacentral:rRNA from 1 species